rnacentral:rRNA from 1 species
AUUGCACGCUGGCGGCAGGCCUAACACAUGCAAGUCGCGCGGAGCGGCGGACGGGUGAGUAAUGCCAAGGACUCUGCAUGGUCGUGGGGGAUAACGUCCGGAAACAGGAGCUAAUACCGCAUACUCUAAGCAGCGACUAGGUCGGAUUAGCUAGUUGUUGGGGUAAAGGACUACCAAGGCCACGAGCCGUAACUGGUCUCAGAGGAUGAGCAGUCACACUGGAACUUCGACACGGUCAAGAUGCCUACGGGAGGCAGCAGUGGGUAAUAUUGGACAAUGGGCGAAAGCCUGAUCCAGCCAUGCCGCGUGUGUGAAGAAGGUCUUCGGAUUGUAAAGCACUUUAAGUUGGGAGGCGUUACCAACAGAAUAAGCACCGGCUAACUUCGUGCCAGCAGCCGCGGUAAUUC